CAUUGCAUUUUAGAUUUUUUUUAUUAAUCAAUAGCAGUGUAUAGGAUAUUUCAAAAUAAUUUAGACGUACAAUUUUAAUAUGCAAAGAUGGGUUUAAUACAUGCUUUUUGGAUUGUAUUUCUUUUAGUGCUCUUUUUGCAUCUAGGUACCAGUAUAGACUGCUAUGCCUGCACUUCCGACGAAGCCAACUGCGGAGAAGUUCCCGACGGCGACUUACUCAUAAUCGACGGAAAGGUCGCAUCAGGAUGUCCGUCUUGUGUGAAGGAAUUCACAGCUCUAGGAACUAUUUGGUCACGUGUUACUAGACGUUGUGGGACAAGCUCAGAAACUGACGACAUGUGCACGGACGUUCUUGGCUACGGAAAAUGUGUUUGCACAACAACUUUCUGUAAUGGCGGAAACAGCAGUGUUAUCUCGUGGACAAGUCUUCUACUUGUUUUAACUUUAAUGCUUUUUUAAAUUUGUUUUUAAACUAGCAUUUUGUGUCAAGCACCGCUAAUAUUUAUUUUCUCAUAGGUCAUCUUCAUUUUGUAUCAAAUGAUGUAGGCGACACUUAAAAAUAAGACAUAUAUAUGGCGAAAACGCUUUGUGAAAUUUUAUUCGCUGAGUUUUCGUUUAAAGGGACUGACCUCCAGAUCGUUCGACAACAAAAAUAUCUAUUUUCUUAGAUAACUAGAAAUAAAUGCUAUACUUCUUAAAAAGGCUUUAAAACUUUAUUACUGACCCACUAUAUGUUACGGAAACAUAUAAUUUGCUGUUUUUACUUUUUUACGAUGAAAAUCGAAAAGCGUUUUUAUUACUCCAGGUAAAUUGUUUCGAUUAAAAAUACCUAUAAUUUGAAGUCAUAAUUCACUACUUCUGCUAUAUCGCUAUUGGUUACGACGACGGGAAAAUGCCUUUAUUGCCGCGGCGGUGCGGGGUUCGAUUCCCGACGCGGUCAUCUUUUUUUCUUGAUUUGGAAUUUUUAAAAUAGUUUAGAAACAAAAACUCAUAUUCUAAUGUUCAUAAUAUGACCAAACUUCAAUUUGAAAGAAUUAUUUUUAGCCAAGUCUGGAGGUCAGCUCAGAGCUUAUGACUACAAAAAGGUAUAGGUUACUAAAUGGUGUAAAAUACAUUACCAAUCAUCAAUAUUUGACCAAUACUUUCAGCUAGGAGUGACCCCCAUCCCCACCCCAACCAGACAAACAUGUAUUUUACAGACCAUUACUUGUCUGAGUGAUCCGGGUGUCACCGAUUUGUGAAAUAUGUCUUCACCAUUUUCAUAUGGUAUCAUAGAGUGUAUUUGCUUGUUUCAGUGUAAGAUCAAAAUAUAUUUCACCGAGAGACCUUCAUAUGCAAUAUUUUCACAAAUGGCGUAGCUACAAUAUUGGUGUUCACGACUGAAAUAUAUUUUGAUCUUACAUGUAAAACAAACCAUUUUUCUUGUUACUUUUAUAAUGUUUGUAUUAUGAUGCAAAAAAAAUUAAGAAGGCAUGUUUUACAAUUUUGUUUAACUAUUCACGGUUUAAAAAUUCUGGUUUCUAUGUAAAAAUUAUUCAUUCUUUUUGUUUUGUGUUUUGUAUACUUUUAUGGUUUUCUAUAUUUCUAUGUGACCAUUAAUUGUUAUUAAAUCAAUUAUUCAUAUUUAUAUGUUACAGAUCUUAGCAUAUCUCUCAUUGGUUGAUGUCAAGUUAACUUUAAUGUUUUACGUCUUUGAUUGAUAUUAUUUGCAUGUACUAUUUCUUUUGUUUUUGUCAUCAUGCACAUUUUUUUGCAGUUUCUUUGUCGUAACAUUUUUAGUCGGCAUAAAUUAAUAAGAGUAAAUAUUGACAGACUGUUUGGUCGCAAUCUUAGUACUAAUUAUCAUACACGCGCCUUUUGAAAGUAGGAAGUGUCAAUCACCUCUUUAUUUUAACUCCGGAAACGCCACCUGGAGUGUAUCUAAAGUAUAGUAUAUAAAGAUCACUUUUUGUAAAACAAGACAAGAGAACACAUUUGUUUCCAAACAGUUACGUUCCUAAGUGAUAGUUUUUGAGCUGUGUGUAAGAACUUUAUGUUUUCUGAAAAAUAUCUCUUUUUAUUAUAUUGCAAGUGUGUUUUACUCUCAAGAAAAACAUAGUAAUAAAUGUAUACCUAAGAACCGCUCCAAUUUAAUUUAUUUCAGCUGGAUGGAUAUUACAGAAGAAUAUAAAACUUUGUGUUAACUUUCUACUUUGUAACAUUUUAGCGUGCUAUAAUAUCUUUUGUUAACUGCUGUUAAAACACACGUUAUGAAUAUUAUUAAAAAGGAAUUAAAAACUGACA